UGUAGGUGCUUUUGAAGCGUUUGUUUUAGAUUUCUGCUCUGAUUUUAUAGUUAGUAACAAAGAUCAACCUAAAUCUGGAUUAUAUUAAUGAUGGUAAAUUUGGGAUCGUCAAAUACGGCUAGUGUGGAGUAGGACAUGUCCGUCGCGGAGUCGUAAGUUCAAGUAUAGAGUGGAUUGAGCCCCGUCCGGCUGCAAUGACUGAUUUAUCCAGCUGCGUCGUAUUGAAUCUCAAACGUUGUAAUAGGCUGGCAUGAUCGAGCAGGUCGUUACACCUAAUCGAUAAAGUUUUAAAAAUAAAAUGCGAUAAAAACUAAUACGGUUGAGAUAAAUUUGAAAA